UACGUAGGGUGCAAGCGUUGUCCGGAAUUAUUGGGCGUAAAGAGCUCGUAGGCGGUCUGUUACGUCGGCUGUGAAAACUCGGGGCUUAACCCCGAGCCUGCAGUGGAUACGGGCAGACUAGAGGUAGGUAGGGGAGAAUGGAAUUCCCGGUGUAGCGGUGAAAUGCGCAGAUAUCGGGAGGAACACCGGUGGCGAAGGCGGUUCUCUGGGCCUUACCUGACGCUGAGGAGCGAAAGCGUGGGGAGCGAACAGG
rnacentral:rRNA from 1 species